GAUGAACGCUGGCGGCGUGCCUAAUACAUGCAAGUAGAACGCUGAAGGAGGAGCUUGCUCUUCUGGAUGAGUUGCGAACGGGUGAGUAACGCGUAGGUAACCUGCCUGGUAGCGGGGGAUAACUAUUGGAAACGAUAGCUAAUACCGCAUGACAACAGUUAUUGCAUGAUAACUGUUUAAAAGGGGCAACUGCUCCACUACCAGAUGGACCUGCGUUGUAUUAGCUAGUUGGUGAGGUAACGGCUCACCAAGGCGACGAUACAUAGCCGACCUGAGAGGGGGAUCGGCCCCACUGGGACGGAGACACGGCCCAGACUCCUACGGGAGGCAGCAGUAGGGAAUCUUCGGCAAUGGACGGAAGUCUGACCGAGCAACGCCGCGUGAGUGAAGAAGGGUUUCGGAUCGUAAAGCUCUGUUGUAAGAGAAGAACGAGUGUGAGAGUGGAAAGUUCACACUGUGACGGUAUCUUACCAGAAAGGGACGGCUAACUACGUG
rnacentral:rRNA from 1 species